rnacentral:rRNA from 1 species
CCUACGGGUGGCAGCAGUGGGGAAUAUUGCACAAUGGGGGAAACCCUGAUGCAGCGACGCCGCGUGAGUGAAGAAGUAUUUCGGUAUGUAAAGCUCUAUCAGCAGGGAAGAAAAUGACGGUCCCUGACUAAGAAGCCCCGGCUAACUACGUCCCAGCAGCCGCGGUAAUACGUAGGGGGCAAGCGUUAUCCGGAUUUACUGGGUGUAAAGGGAGCGUAGACGGCAGCACAAGUCUGGAGUGAAAUGCCGGGGCUUAACCCCGGAACUGCUUUGGAAACUGUUCAGCUAGAGUGCAGGAGAGGUAAGUGGAAUUCCUAGUGUAGCGGUGAAAUGCGUAGAGAUUAGGAGGAACACCAGUGGCGAAGGCGGCUUACUGGACUGUAACUGACGUUGAGGCUCGAAAGCGUGGGGAGCAAACAGGAUUAGAUACCCCUGUAGUC